rnacentral:rRNA from 1 species
CUACAAAUGAAUUGACGGGGGCCCGCACAAGCGGUGGAGCAUGUGGUUUAAUUCGAAGCAACGCGAAGAACCUUACCAGGUCUUGACAUCCCGAUGCUAUUUCUAGAGGUGGAAAGUUACUUCGGUACAUCGGUGACAGGUGGUGCAUGGUUGUCGUCAGCUCGUGUCGUGAAAUGUUGGGUUAAGUCCCGCAACGAGCGCAACCCUUAUCCUUUGUUGCCAGCGGUCCGGCCGGGAACUCAAAGGAGACUGCCAGUGAUAAACUGGAGGAAGGUGGGAUGACGUCAAGUCAUCAUGGCCCUUACGACCAGGGCUACACACGUGCUACAAUGGCGCAUACAAAGAGAAGCGACCUCGCGAGAGCAAGCGGACCUCAUAAAGUGCGUCGUAGUCCGGAUUGGAGUCUGCAACUCGACUCCAUGAAGUCGGAAUCGCUAGUAAUCGUGGAUCAGAAUGCCACGGUGAAUACGUUCCCGGGCCUU